AGCGUUGUCCGGAUUUACUGGGCGUAAAGGGAGCGUAGGCGGAUUUUUAAGUCUAAUGUGAAAGCCCUCGGGCUUAACCUGAGGAACUGCAUCGGAAACUGUUUUUCUUGAGUGCAGAAGAGGAGAGUGGAACUCCAUGUGUAGCGGUGGAAUGCGUAGAUAUAUGGAAGAACACCAGUGGCGAAGGCGGCUCUCUGGUCUGCAACUGACGCUGAGGCUCGAAAGCAUGGGUAGCGAACAGGAUUAGAUACCCUGGUAGUCCAUGCCGUAAACGAUGAGUGCUAAGUGUUGGGAGGUUUCCGCCUCUCAGUGCUGCAGCUAACGCAUUAAGCACUCCGCCUGGGGAGUACGACCGCAAGGUUGAAACUCAAAGGAAUUGACGGGGGCCCGCACAAGCGGUGGAGCAUGUGGUUUAAUUCGACGCAACGCGAAGAACCUUACCAGGUCUUGACAUCUAGUGCAAUCUGUAGAGAUACGGAGUUCCCUUCGGGGACGCUAAGACAGGUGGUGCAUGGCUGUCGUCAGCUCGUGUCGUGAGAUGUUGGGUUAAGUCCCGCAACGAGCGCAACCCUUGUUAUUAGUUGCCAGCAUUAAGUUGGGCACUCUAAUGAGACUGCCGGUGACAAACCGGAGGAAGGUGGGGAUGACGUCAAGUCAUCAUGCCCCUUAUGACCUGGGCUACACACGUGCUACAAUGGGCAGUACAACGAGAAGCAAGCCUGCGAAGGCAAGCGAAUCUCUGAAAGCUGUUCUCAGUUCGGACUGCAGUCUGCAACUCGACUGCACGAAGCUGGAAUCGCUAGUAAUCGUGGAUCAGCAUGUCGCGGUG
rnacentral:rRNA from 1 species